AAGGAACUUUGCUGCAGUACCAUGAGUGCAGCAGGCGCAAUGAUAUUACGCCUAUUGAGGCCUAUUUUCAAAAAAAGUUCCUUUAAGUGCAUAUUCUGUGUUACUGUGGAUACUGAACGCCAUUAAUUUUGUGUAUCGAUGGUUUAUGAGCUGUUUACCGGGAAACUGAAAUUGAUUGUAUUUUUUUUUUUUUUCUUGACAAGUUUAGACUUUUCUGGCACCUGAACAAUUUAAUGCAAUUUACCUUUAAUAAUACUUUAAAUUUAAUUGGGGCAGCCACCAUUGCAAGUUCGUGGCAGUGUAAACAGACUUUCUUUCCAAUCUUCUUCUGUAUCUCAGCUUUCACCCAAAUAAAAAGCUACACAUUCAUAUAUAUAUUGACAAAUCAUUGACCAAAAGCCUUGAUGAAAUAGAAAGUUAUUAUCAAGCAGUCUGAAUGUCAAAUUGAACAUGAUUCACUAUUUAUGUUGUCUAAAUUAUAUGACACGAGUCGUCAUUGAAAUACUGUGUUAUAUCAAUUAAGUUCUAUAUCACAUUCAAGAAUUGCAUGGAACUAUUAUAUUCAGUUUCCGAGGAAUUGGAGGUAAUAAAUAUCAAUCUCCUAUUGAGUCUAUUGAGGAGCACACUUUGCUCCUCCUUGAAAUUUUAUUACAAGUGAUAAACAGCAGCAUAAUCAUGCACUAUGAUGGAUUGUAAACACUGCUUGAUAGAGGGAGAGGAAAAUGAGCUUAAAUAAUGAUAAAUGUGCACACUUAGAUUGAUCUUAAAAACACAAUGCAAAAAUCUAUGUAGAAUGUGUAUCUGUUUAUUUGUUUUUUUUUAACUAUAAUAAAUAUAUUUAUUUGCACCCUUUUUUCCAUGUGCAGCUAAAGCAUCAGAGGAGAGCAUUAUGAAUGGCCACCUGACAUGUGAAUAAAGACCAUUAUGUCAAAUAUCCCAUACACAAUGUAAAACCAUGUAAAAGAAGGCUUCAAAGAUAACAAUUAACUCAUUUUGUAAGAAUUGCAACAUAAUUCCAGCAACAUUUGCAUAUUAAAUUGCAAUUCCACUGAUUGCCUCUUUAUUGUAGAUUUAUGUCUAUAUGUUUCAGGAUCACAUGUAUGUUGAUGAUGCUAAUCUGAAAAUCUAGUGGCUUUACCUUCAAAGUGUUAAAGCUGCUGGAAUGACUGCAAAAGACCAUUUCAUUUCACAUUUUACAGAAUGCAUGAAAACAACUUUUGUGGCAAAUAGCUUUUCUUUAGUUGGGUCAUUCACUUUUUAUCAUCAAAUUGUGAAGAUAAAAAUUCCAAGGAGUGGCAGAAUGUGCUGACUGCACCUCAAAUUAAAAAACUAUGUAUAUAUUUAAUAUAUAACCUAAUUCAGCCCCUUAAUUUAGGUGUGUGUGAAUGACGGCACAGGUUAUGUGAUUUUGGAAACAUAAAUACUGAAUCAGAAUUCAGAAUCAGGAAGUCAGAUUGCCUGAAAUUACAUUUUCAUUUGAUCACCAGCACACUGUAGCAAUGUCAGUACCUGGUGGCUGGAGCCCAGUGGAGCCUGUCACUCCAGAGGUGGAGAAAAUCUGCCUUGAGGUGAAGUCACACAUUGAGUAGAUGAUUAAAAACAAUUCUGGUGUUUGCACUCCUAUAAGCUUUGCUCAUCAGGUUGUGGAGGGAAUAAACUAUGUGGUCAAGGUGCAGGUCGGCGUAGAUUUGUGCGUUCAUGCAAUGAUAUUUGCAGCUCUCCCCUGCCAUGGAGGGAAACGGACUGUGACUGGAAUUCAGGAUUUUUCAAAUUAAAUAAACCCAUGAAU